UGUUAUGGCGGUCGUACGCGGGCAGACUUCGGUCUGGCCGAGCUUUGUAGCUCCCUCGGUUUUCUCACCCCGCGUAUGACUGCCACCUAG
ncrna:Pseudomonas putida W619 C4 antisense RNA